CCAUAUCUCCCUAUCUUCUCCUCUACCUCUCUAUCUAACAGCGAAGCAAUUCUUCACAUAGUGUGUGUGGAAAUUUCACCCUUUGGUCUUUCAAAUGCCUAAUCUUCAACACUCAAUUUCUUGCCCAUCAAUUGCAUCCUCUUCCCGUCACAGCAAAAACAUGUCUUUUUUGGUAGAUUCAAAAUAUGGGAGAGUGAUGAAGUGAAGAAAAGCAUAGGAAUAGGUUGCUUUAAUUUUGUCAAUGCUGUGGAGAAAGACCUGUAGUUUGAAGUUGAUCUAGAUAAGGCCCGUGAAGCUUUGAGAAAGCUUGAUGAAUAGAUUCUGUCUCUUUACAAAAAAACAAGUCAGUCCUCCCAAAAAUUAGAAGUUACUUUUCUCUCUCUACUGUUUGUUUUGUGAUUAUUUGUUGUGAUUUGCAAUUAGAUAACUAGUUUAAAGUAAAAUUAGAACCAGAACUAUAUUUGUUUAUGGAUUACUAUUAGAUAGAGAAUUAGUUUAUCUGUUGCAAGGAAAACAAGAAUUAAGAAGAGAUGAUGUUAAAUUAUUGAUUGAUCUCAUUCACAAAUAUUCUUAACUGAGCUUUUAAAGAAGGAAUUUUAUAUUGUGGUGUUAAUUGUUGGUGAUGUUUGGUAAUAUUUGAGGUGACGUUAGUAUU
rnacentral:lncRNA from 1 species